rnacentral:ncRNA from 1 species
UGAUAGUGAUGAUCCGUAAGGUUGCUAUUCCGCUUGCUGGAGUAGGUUUUUACGAGGAGCGAAUGUCAAGUCGAGAUACUGACGACAA